GUCAUUUUUACAGCCAUGGCCAUUAUUCCGUUUGUUUGUUUUUGCUAGUUCAGAACUUGAAGGAGGCUUUUUAGACACGAGUAAGUUGUUAAUAGAAAUGAUAGCAGUUUAUUUUAUAUCUCGAGACAUCCCAUACCCUACUACACGUGAGGCCACGUCACUCUUUCCUCAAGGUCAAUGUUGGAAGUACAAAGUCUUUGUUUGUACGUGGUGUUUGUCCUGUUGAACCAACUUCCGUCCAAUUACCUAACUGAUAGAUCUAACAGGAACCUGUUGUACCGCAUAUCACAGAACCAGUCACAGUGAAGGCAGGGAGUGUCGCCUGAUAGUCUCAUGACUUGGUUACCAAACGCUUAUGACAAACAGGUUUAAAAUGGAACAGGGAUUGCAAGAGGUCCGCAUUCAAAGAGGUUAAAAGAGUGAGAACACGGGAUGCGUGACGCAUACCGGUGGAUGCCAUUGUGGGGCAGUCCGUUUCGAGGUGUGGAGUUCGCCUGAUCUACACGUCUUUAAUUGCAACUGCAGCAUUUGCACUAAGAAACAGAACCGCCAUUUCAUUGUACCAAAACGUCAGUUCACUCUUUUGCAGGCGUGGCACCGCACUGCUUGGACCCGGGCACUGUGAGGAGCGUGAGGGUGGAGGACUUCUGUGGUGAGAAGUGGGAGGAGAGUAUGGAGGCACACCAGACCAUCAGAAGCAUGUCCAAAGCUGAGGCUGACUCACACACGUCAGCCAAAUAAAAAAUAAAAAAAAGUUUUUUUCAGCA